AUUUGAUAAUAAUGGACUAACCCCACUGCACUAUGCUGUUCGGGCUCAUAAUGUGACAGUGACGGAGCUGGGUAGGAGAGAUCUCUCUUUAGAUAUGAAGAGGUUAAUGGAUUUUACGAAGAAGAGACUUCUGGAAGGGAUCUGCUGUCUGGUAGACAUGGGCGCUGACCCCCUAACAAGGGAACCAAAGACUGGAC